AUCGAUGAAGAACGCAGCGAAAUGCGAUAAGUAAUGUGAAUUGCAGAAUUCAGUGAAUCAUCGAAUCUUUGAACGCACAUUGCGCCCUCUGGUAUUCCGGAGGGCAUGCCUGUUCGAGCGUCAUUACAACCCUCAAGCUCUGCUUGGUAUUGGGCCUCACCGGCAACGGUGGGCCUUAAAAUCAGUGGCGGUGCCAUUCGGCUUCAAGCGUAGUAAUUCUUCUCGCUUUGGAGAUCCGGGUGAGUGCUUGCCAGCAACCCCCAAUUUUUUACAGGUUGACCUCGGAUCAGGUAGGGAUACCCGCUGAACUUAAGCAUAUCAAUAAGCGGAGGAAAAGAAACCAACAGGGAUUACCUCAGUAACGGCGAGUGAAGCGGUAACAGCUCAAAUUUGAAAUCUGGCCUCACGGUCCGAGUUGUAAUUUGUAGAGGAUGUUUCGAACGUGGUCCGGUCUAAGUUCCUUGGAACAGGACGUCAUAGAGGGUGAGAAUCCCGUAUGCGACUGGGUGCCUAAGUUCAUGUGAAACUCCUUCGACGAGUCGAGUUGUUUGGGAAUGCAGCUCAAAAUGGGUGGUAAAUUUCAUCUAAAGCUAAAUAUUGGCCAGAGACCGAUAGCGCACAAGUAGAGUGAUCGAAAGAUGAAAAGCACUUUGGAAAGAGAGUUAAACAGUACGUGAAAUUGUUGAAAGGGAAGCGCUUGCAACCAGACUUGCACGCAGUUGAUCAUCCGGUGUUCUCACCGGUGCACUCGAUUGUGUUCAGGCCAGCAUCGGUUUCGGUGGUUGGAUAAAGGCCUUGGGAAUGUGGCUCCUCUCGGGGAGUGUUAUAGCCCUCGGUGCAAUGCAGCCUACCGGGACCGAGGACCGCGCUUCGGCUAGGAUGCUGGCGUAAUGGUUGUAAGCGACCCGUCUUGAAACACGG
rnacentral:rRNA from 1 species